rnacentral:sRNA from 1 species
GAGCGAUCAUAAGGGAGCUGACUGCAAAUCUGCCGUCAUCGACUUCAAGGUUCGACUCGAGCAAUAGUGAGAGAACGUUGCCGCAGGCAACGGCCCGAAGGGUGAGGGGCUUUAGCUCCGAAUAAUCCUUCCCGCUAUAGAA